rnacentral:lncRNA from 1 species
AUGUAUCCUCCCACAACCCUGGGUAGCUACCCACUGAUGGGGUCAUGCAAGGGCUAUUUGCUGGCCCCCAAAGUGCAGCUAGCCAGAAGGGCACAAACACUGUUGUUUUCAUCACCCACUCUGUUCCUCCUAUUUCAGAAAGAUAGAUUUAUGACCCAAAAGAGUAUAAUCAUCCUGAGACUUGAAAAGAUAGUGGAAAACCUUAGGAGAAGUAGAGGCAGUUUAGGGAGAGUGGAGAACAAACUAAUCCCCUCCUCUUCCCACCCUGGUGCCCCCACGGAAGAGGCUUCCUGUUGCAGCCCUAAGUAUCUGGAAAUGGGCCAGGGAAGAAAGAAGGGAAAGAGCAGUGCCUCUGUGCUUCAAUCCUUGGCCUUCUCUCCUCACAGAGUUCUUGUAGGAAGAACAAGCUUUUGAGGACAUCUGGGAAUCCAGUCCCCUGCCCCCAUCCCUGCAUCCUGGACUGUCUAAUCCACUUUGGGAUGGAUCAAAGAGUCUAGAGAGACCACUCUUAGGUCCAACUGCUGGCCUCCUGACUCUAAAGCCUUCACUGGAAUUGGGACAUUAGCUCCAGCUCUAGCUGUCAACAUGACCAGAGACAUUAUUUAUAAUUCAGCCAUUUAAAUAUACCUGUCCUCAAAAAGUCCUGUAUAUUUUUUAAAAGUUUUAUUUUUCAGGUGAACAAAAAUACAUUCUAAGAACUCUACAUAUGCCUGUGUAAGUUGACCAUUUCUCUUUCGUACUCCUUGGGGAAAGAGUGGAGGUUGGAAGAAGAGAUGGUCCGAGAUGUGGUGGUUAGAUGUUGAUGAAUAGGUGUAGGAGGAAAAAGCAAUUGCCCUGAUGUUCUCUGUGCCUGAUGGCUUAACUGAAUUGAUUAGUGAAGAGUGGUAGGAAUGCAUCUUAGUUGAGAAGCAAUCUUGGGGUCAGAUGAACAGUGAUACCUAGCUCAGUCACCUUUUACCAACCUUUAAAAACCUCUGAAAGGUUCUGCUCUGAAGGGUCUCUGAGCAGAUGCCUAGCUGGGGAAGAUAAGAGACCAGCAAGCAUACAUACUAAGAAUUACUACCAAAAGAAAAAGAAAUAGUACCAACACUGAGCUGGCUGAGAGCUGAGGUGAGGAUAAGCCACCUGAUAAGCAUCACCUUUCUCGCUGUUAAACCUUCAGCGCCUAGAUAGUUCGAGAAGUACUAACGCUGGGAGGGUUGCACUGAUGUGCCCGCAGUGCUUGGUCAGAGCUUUGUCCACAGUGGAGCAGGCAAGAGAGCCAAAUGGCUGAGAGAAGGUGUAGGUUGCUUCAAAGGUAAGGCCUUUUCUCCCCCUAAAGCAAACAAUAAAAGACAUGUGGGUGAAAAGCA